GAGUUUGAUCUUGGCUCAGAUUGAACGCUGGCGGCAUGCCUUACACAUGCAAGUCGAACGGCAGCAUGAUCUAGCUUGCUAGAUUGAUGGCGAGUGGCGAACGGGUGAGUAAUACAUCGGAACGUGCCCUGUAGUGGGGAGUAACUAGUCGAAAGAUUAGCUAAUACCGCAUACGACCUGAGGGUGAAAGUGGGGGACCGCAAGGCCUCAUGCUAUAGGAGCGGCCGAUGUCUGAUUAGCUAGUUGGUGGGGUAAAGGCUCACCAAGGCGACGAUCAGUAGCUGGUCUGAGAGGACGAUCAGCCACACUUGGGACUGAGACACGGCCCAGACUCCUACGGGGAGGCAGCAGUUGGGGAAUUUUGGACAAUGGGCGAAAGCCUGAUCCAGCAAUGCCGCGUGUGUGAA
rnacentral:rRNA from 1 species